UGGGGAAUCUUCCGCAAUGGACGAAAGUCUGACGGAGCAACGCCGCGUGAGUGAAGACGGCCUUCGGGUUGUAAAGCUCUGUGAUUCGGGACGAAAGGCCAUAUGUGAAUAAUAUAUGGAAAUAACGGUACCGAAAAAGCAAGCCACGGCUAACUACGUGCCAGCAGCCGCGGUAAUACGUAGGUGGCAAGCGUUGUCCGGAAUUAUUGGGCGUAAAGCGCGCGCAGGCGGUCACUUAAGUCCAUCUUAGAAGUGCGGGGCUUAACCCCGUGAUGGGAUGGAAACUGGGAGACUGGAGUAUCGGAGAGGAAAGUGGAAUUCCUAGUGUAGCGGUGAAAUGCGUAGAUAUUAGGAAGAACACCGGUGGCGAAUGCGACUUUCUGGACGAAAACUGACGCUGAGGCGCGAAAGCGUGGGGAGCAAACAGG
rnacentral:rRNA from 1 species